GCAUCCGUAGCUCAGCUGGAUAGAGUACUCGGCUNNGCGGUCGGAGGUUCGAAUCCUCCCGGAUGCACCA
rnacentral:tRNA from 1 species